rnacentral:rRNA from 1 species
UGGGGAAUAUUGGACAAUGGGCGAAAGCCUGAUCCAGCCAUGCCGCGUGUGUGAAGAAGGUCUUCGGAUUGUAAAGCACUUUAAGUUGGGAGGAAGGGCAUUAACCUAAUACGUUAGUGUUUUGACGUUACCGACAGAAUAAGCACCGGCUAACUCUGUGCCAGCAGCCGCGGUAAUACAGAGGGUGCAAGCGUUAAUCGGAAUUACUGGGCGUAAAGCGCGCGUAGGUGGUUUGUUAAGUUGGAUGUGAAAUCCCCGGGCUCAACCUGGGAACUGCAUUCAAAACUGACUGACUAGAGUAUGGUAG